rnacentral:rRNA from 1 species
UACAGAGGUCCCAAGCGUUGUUCGGAAUCACUGGGCGUAAAGGGUGCGUAGGCGGUAGUGUAAGACUUAGGUGAAAUCUCCAUGCUUAACGUGGAGCUCGCCUGGGAGACUGCAUUACUUGAGGAUUGGAGGGGAGACUGGAAUUCCAUGUGUAGCGGUGAAAUGCGCAGAUAUGUGGAGGAACACCGGUGGCGAAGGCGGCCUCCUGGACCAUUCCUGACAUUCAGACGCGAAAGCUAGGGUAGCAAACGGGAUUAGAUA